UGGCUCAGGAUGAACGCUAGCGGCAGGCCUAACACAUGCAAGUCGAGGGGUAACGAUGGCUUCGGCCAGGCGACGACCAGGCGGACGGGUGAGUAUCGCGUUUGUAACCAUACCUCUAACUGGAGAAUAGCCCGAAGAAAUUCGGAUUAAUGCUCCAUAUUGCUAUGAGAUAGGCAUCAUCUCAUAGUGAAAGCCCCGGCGGUCAGAGAUGGGCCUGCGUCACAUUAGUUUGUUGGUGAGGUAACGGCUCACCAAGGCCACGAUGUCUAGGGGGUCUGAGAAGGAUGGUCCCCCACACUGGUACUGAAACACGGACCAAACUCCUACGGGAGGCAGCAGUGAGGAAUAUUGGUCAAUGGGCGAAAGCCUGAACCAGCCAUGCCGCUUGACGGAUGACGGCGCUAUGCGUUGUAGACUUCUUUUGUACGGGAAGACACAGUUCUACUUGUAGAAGCUUGACUGUACCGUACGAAUAAGCAUCGGCUAACUCCCCGCCAGCAUCCGCGGUAAAUACGGAGGAUGCAAGCGUAAUCCCGGAUUUAAUCGGAUUUAAAGGGUACGUAGGUCGGAACAUCAAGUCAGUGGUGACAAUCCCGCAGCUUAACUGUGGAACGUGUCAUUGAUACUGGUUUUCUGGAAAAUAGAUGAGGUAGGCAGGAAUGUGUAAUGUACCGGUGAAAUGCUUAGAUAUUACGCAGAACACCGAUCGCGAAGGCAGGUUACUAGAGUAUGAUUGACGCUCAAGUACGAAAGCGUGGGGAGUGAACCGUGAUUCGAUACCCUGGUAUGUCCACGCUGUAUACGAUGAUCACUCGUUGUGGACGAUAUACUGUCAGCGACUGAGCGAAAGCAUUAAGUGAUCCACCCUGGGGAGUACGACCGCAAGCUUGAAACUCAAAGGAAUUGACGGGGGCCCGCACAAGCGGAGGAACAUGUGGUUUAAUUCGAUGAUACGCGAGGAACCUUACCUGGGCUUAAAUGCAGAACGACGGACCGGGAAACUGGUCU
rnacentral:rRNA from 1 species